rnacentral:snRNA from 1 species
AUCAUUUGUAAUGUGGCAGUAUCAUAGCCAAUGAGGUUUAUCCGAGGCGCGAUUAUUGCUAAUUGAAAAUAUUGGAACAAGCUCAAUGUCCCCUAUUAUGGGGUUGCCUGUCUAUUUUGCGCAUUAACAGCUUUAA